AGGUUAGACGUCGCGCUUUCUGCAUUCUCGCUGCCUCAUCGCUGCCCCAUAUCCCCCCCCUGCCUCUACGCCACGCCCCUUCACCGUCACACGUUGCUAAAGAGACGUUCAGAGACCCUCGAAGGACGACCGCACCAGCGCUGCCCUUUUCCACUUGUCGCUGCCUUCCGGCAAUCCAACUCGUUCUUCUUCAGAUCUCGGUUGCUCCGUCUUGCGAUAAUUCAUCUUAAGCAGCAGCCGCUUUUCUUUUUUUGUUGUUUGUUUUGCUACUCGCCUCCGCGCCUUCAAGCCCCAAAACGUGACAACAGCACCCGCUCUGUUUUUCGUUCUACUUUGACGGCUUCUUUUCCUUGUUGUGCUGCUGCGCGCACGCGUGUUCUUGUGCACGCUUACCCGCCACUCCUCCCUCUACCGCGCAUCCGCACACAAGUGUGCUGCGCGUUUAAAGUGGGCGCAUCGGCUGCGCAAGCGCAAAGGAGAUAGACGCAGGCACACAAACGCGCUCUGCCGAAAGCGCAGCGAGGGAGCAAAACAGAAGACUACCGACUGCCGUCUUUGUGCGUGUCUUUUCAGUGCGUUUGCCUGUGCGCCCCGUCGCCCGGAGCUCACUUGCAUUUUAAUCGAGUUUCGCAGGUGUUUGAGUAACACUAUUAUUCUGUCUCACCCCUUCCACUUCUUGUAUUGUCGUUGUCAUUGUCUCCAGUGUUAGCUUGUCGUCUUCGCUCACUCGUUCACGCAGAGACACUCCAGCGCUUGCCUGUCGCUGCUGCUGCUGCUAUAACCCUUCUCUCUCUCUUUCCUCUAAGUCAUGGCAAUUCGUUGGGUGCUUCGUUUUUGUAUUGAGUGAUUCGAGGCGGACAUUUGUUGCCGAGCGUGUUUUGGCGGUCCUCUAUUGUGGUUCCUUUUUUUGCUUGUGGAUCGCUUGCUGCUCUCUUCUGGACUCUGUUGAGACAAACUGUGAGUGCUGGUCCUCUCUGCUGUCGCUCUCACUGUCGCUGUCGUGAACCCCGCAUUUCCGUUUGAAUUCGUUCGUGUGCUCUUUCUGAUAGGUUGCUGCAUUGUGACUGUUCGUGUCGCUGUAUAAGUCG
rnacentral:misc_RNA from 1 species